rnacentral:rRNA from 1 species
UACGGAGGGUGCAAGCGUUAAUCGGAAUCACUGGGCGUAAAGCGCGCGUAGGUGGCUAUUUAAGUCAGAUGUGAAAGCCCUGGGCUCAACCUGGGAAUGGCAUUUGAUACUGGAUAGCUAGAGUAUGGUAGAGGUGAGUGGAAUUUCAGGUGUAGCGGUGAAAUGCGUAGAGAUCUGAAGGAACAGCAGUGGCGAAGGCGACUCACUGGGCCUGAAUUGACACUGAGACACGAAAGCGUGGGGAUCAAACAGG